GAAGCUCCUAAUAAUGAAAGCCCCCAUCAUCUUGUCUUUCUUCUCACCAAAACAAAAUUCUUCUUGCACUCAUGAAGAGGUGACAAUUUGCUGCUUGAUAACAAUGGCCCAAAAGGUACUCUCACCAUUAGACAGACAUCCUUUGGAUAGCACUACUACCCAUCAGUGUUUGAAGCAUCCAUGACUUUAUGCUGGCAUUCCACCUUUGUGUCAUGGUCAUUAGGACCACAAAUUGCAGGAGCCACAUAGAAGACAGAGAAACAUUUAGUUGAUAUCUCAUUGAAAGUACCUUGUGCAUGUGUUAUCCCAAUGUGACUAAAGUAAGCUUGCCACUGUAAUGCUACACUUUACACAUGCCAAUCUCCAUCCCCUCCUGCCAUUCACACACUUCAAAAGAAGAUCCUCCCACUGGAAUGGAACACUCAUCCUUCUUAGAAAUGGGUCCUAAAGCAAACAUAAUCCCUGAUUAAGUGCAGCACUCAGUAGAUGUAUGGGAAUAUGAGAGAGCAUCUGCGCACAUUUCGAUGCCAUGGGCUCAUGUGCAGUCAACCAUCUUUUGUCUGAACUCUGUGGAGAGGACAAAGCAGUGGCAUAUCAGAAAGAAUGGGAGAGAAAGAGAAAAAAAGGAGUGGGGGGAAAAAGAGAAAAAGUUAGCACAACACACUUCACAAGUUGCUGAGAGAGCUCAAAGUUGGGGGCUUUCGCAGAAAGCCAUGUAUGAUUUAUCUUAGUUGGCACAACCUAAUUGCGGAUCUGAUGGCACUAAAGUGAAGCGUACAAUUGAUAGGGCAUCCAAUGCUCCCAAAGUUGGAACACUUUCACCACAGUAAAAUUGGAUCUUCACCCAUCAUUUGGCAUUAGAUCGACUCAAAGGUUGUGCUAAAGGCAUGAUUUUGUUGGGCUGUGGCUUUUUUUGGGGUUAGUAUAAUGCCAUUGAACAGUAAUUGUGUCCUAAUAAGCCAUCUUAAACUCAUUUUAAGCUUCUUAUUCUUGGAUUAG
rnacentral:lncRNA from 1 species